CACGCCCUAAACGAUGCGAACUGGAUGUUGGGUGCAAUUUGGCACGCAGUAUCGAAGCUAACGCGUUAAGUUCGCCGCCUGGGGAGUACGGUCGCAAGACUGAAACUCAAAGGAAUUGAC
rnacentral:rRNA from 1 species